ensembl:snRNA U6 U6 spliceosomal RNA
GUGUUCACUUUGGCAGCACAUAUACUCAAGUUGGAAUGAGACAGGAAGAUUAGCAUGGCCUUGCGCAAGAGUGACAUGGAAAUUAGUGAAGUGUUCCAUAUUUUG